rnacentral:rRNA from 1 species
GAUGAACGCUGGCGGCGUGCCUAAUACAUGCAAGUCGAGCGAACGGACGAGAAGCUUGCUUCUCUGAUGUUGGCGGCGGACGGGUGAGUAACACGUGGAUAACCUACCUAUAAGACUGGGAUAACUUCGGGAAAACGGAGCUAAUACCGGAUAAUAUUUUGAACCGCAUGGUUCAAAAGUGAAAGACGGUCUUGCUGUCACUUAUAGAUGGAUCCGCGCUGCAUUAGCUAGUUGGUAAGGUAACGGCUUACCAAGGCAACGAUGCAUAGCCGACCUGAGAGGGUGAUCGGCCACACUGGAACUGAGACACGGUCCAGACUCCUACGGGAGGCAGCAGUAGGGAAUCUUCCGCAAUGGGCGAAAGCCUGACGGAGCAACGCCGCGUGAGUGAUGAAGGUCUUCGGAUCGUAAAACUCUGUUAUUAGGGAAGAACAUAUGUGUAAGUAACUGUGCACAUCUUGACGGUACCUAAUCAGAAAGCCACGGCUAACUACGUG